UACGUAGGGGGCUAGCGUUGUCCGGAAUCAUUGGGCGGAAAGCGCGUGUAGGCGGUCCGGUAAGUCCGCUGUGAAAGUCGAGGGCUCAACCCUCGAAUGCCGGUGGAUACUGUCGGGCUUGAGUACGGGAGAGGCGAGUGGAAUUCCUGGUGUAGCGGUGAAAUGCGCAGAUAUCGGGAGGAACACCGGUGGCGAAGGCGGUUCUCUGGGCCUGUACUGACGCUGAGGAGCGAAAGCGUGGGGAGCGAACAGG
rnacentral:rRNA from 1 species